AACUGAAUACCAAAUAGUUCUGGACUAUUUGUUUUAUUCAUAUUCCGUACUUGCAGACGACUGUGAUAGGUUGAUUAUAGAGAAAUGUAUCUCCGACCUCCUCCUGAACUACGGGUACAGCUGGAAGCUGAACCUGAACAAGAUAAUCCUGGUUUUAACCAACUAAAGAGCUGACCCAAAACUAAUUUUCAAUCCCAAGUUUUACCAGGAACAUUUUAAGAAAACUCCUCCUAAGUCCAGCAUUCAGAUUUCCUGUUCUUGAACCAGGACCUCCUUUAGCUCCUCAUGCCAUGCUCCACACCUUCAAGCUGAUAAAG